rnacentral:rRNA from 1 species
GAUGAACGCUAGCUGGAGGCUUAAUACAUGCAAGUCGAGCGGGAUUGGGUAGCAAUACUCAUGAGAGCGGCGCACGGGUGAGUAACGCGUACACGACCUACCUUUGACUGGGGGAUAGCCCUGGGAAACUGGGAUUAAUACCGCAUAUAAUUCUCGAUAAUAAAGGUUGGGAAUGAAAGUUCAGGCGGUCAGAGAUGGGUGUGCGUCUGAUUAGCUAGUUGGUGAGGUAACGGCUCACCAAGGCGAUGAUCAGUAGGGGGCGUGAGAGCGUGGACCCCCACACGGGUACUGAGACACGGACCCGACUCCUACGGGAGGCAGCAGUAAGGAAUAUUGGACAAUGGCCGCAAGGCUGAUCCAGCCAUCCAGCGUGCAGGAAGAAGGCCCUACGGGUUGUAAACUGCUUCUGUCAGGGAAUAAACCUGUGGAUUUACUCCGCAGCUGAAGGUACCUGAAGAAUAAGCACCGGCUAACUCCGUGCCAGCAGCCGCGGUAAUACGGAGGGUGCGAGCGUUAUCCGGAAUUACUGGGUUUAAAGGGUGCGUAGGCGGCCAUGUAAGUCAGGAGUGAAAGUUUGCGGCUCAACCGUAAAAUUGCUUUUGAUACUGCAUGGCUGGAAUCAGGAUGAGGUCAGCGGAAUG